rnacentral:rRNA from 1 species
UACAGAGGGGGCAAGCGUUGUUCGGAAUUACUGGGCGUAAAGGGCGCGUAGGCGGCCUGCUAAGUCGAACGUGAAAUCCCCGGGCUCAACCCGGGAACUGCGUCCGAUACUGGUUGGCUUGAAUCCGGGAGAGGGAUGCGGAAUUCCAGGUGUAGCGGUGAAAUGCGUAGAUAUCUGGAGGAACACCGGUGGCGAAGGCGGCAUCCUCGGACCGGCAUGACGCUGAGGCGCGAAAGCCAGGGGAGCCAAGCGGG